rnacentral:ncRNA from 1 species
UGAAGGAUAUUAGAUUUUCUUAAUGUUCUGUUUGAUAAAUAGCAACAAAACAACAGGACGUUGUUUUGAGCUCAAGUCGAACCACGGAUGGUGAGUCUUGAGCGGUUGCGUAAAAAAUUAGAUGCCUUAAUCAGAACAUUUAGAAAAUAUUAUAUCCG